rnacentral:rRNA from 1 species
AAUCAACGCUGGCGGCGUGCCUAACACAUGCAAGUCGAACGAGAAAGUGGAGCAAUCCAUGAGUAAAGUGGCGACCGGGUGAGUAACACGUGACUAACCUACCUUUUAGUGGGGGAUAACCUCGGGAAACCGAGGCUAAUACCGCAUAACAUCGCAAGAUCAAAGCAGCAAUGCGCUGGAAGAGGGGGUCGCGGCUGAUUAGCUAGUUGGCGGGGUAAUGGCCCACCAAGGCGAAGAUCGGUAUCCGGCCUGAGAGGGCGCACGGACACACUGGAACUGAAACACGGUCCAGACUCCUACGGGAGGCAGCAGUGGGGAAUUUUGCGCAAUGGGGGAAACCCUGACGCAGUAACGCCGCGUGGAGGAUGAAGCCCCUUGGGGCGUAAACUCCUUUCGACCAAGACGAUAAUGACGGUACUGGUGGAAGAAGCACCGGCUAACCCUGUGCCAGCAGCCGCGGUAAUAC